rnacentral:sRNA from 1 species
GGGCGUACGUCAAGAUGGCGGCGUCUGUAUUAAACACCGUGCUGAGGCGGCUUCCUAUGCUAUCUCUCUUCCGAGGUUCUCACAGAGUUCAGGUUCCCCUCCAGACUCUUUGCACCAAAGCUCCCUCUGAGGAAGAUUCUUUGUCCUCAGUUCCCAUUUCUCCUUAUAAGGAUGAGCCCUGGAAAUAUCUGGAAUCAGAAGGUACCUCUAAAGGGGGAAAGGGAGGGUCAGAUAGGAUUUGAGAUAAGUGGACAGAGCCACCCACUACACUCCCACCCAGGAAUAACUUGUAUGAUCUUUCAUUUCAGAAUACCAGGAGCGAUAUGGUUCUCGCCCCGUCUGGGCUGACUACCGCCGCAACCACAAGGGUGGUGUACCCCCACAGCGGACUCGGAAGACAUGUAUUGUGAGUUUCUGAGAGUGGGGUGUGGAGUGCGGGGAGGCCACAAGUAACAGUAACAGCAGCACUUUUUCUGACGUGUUUGAACAUCCUUAACUGCUGUUUUUUUCUCUCUACAGCGUCGGAAUAAAGUUGUUGGGAAUCCCUGCCCCAUCUGUCGAGAUCACAAGUUGCAUGUUGACUUUAGGAACGUGAAGCUCUUGGAGCAAUUUGUCUGCGCCCACACGGGUAUCAUCUUCCAUGCUCCAUACACAGGAGUCUGUGUGAAGCAGCACAAGCGGUUGACCCAGGCCAUCCAGAAAGCCAGGGAUCAUGGUCUCCUCAUUUACCACAUCCCCCAGGUUGAACCACGGGACCUUGACUUCAGUACCUCUCAUGGGGCUGUGAGUGCUACUCCGCCAGCCCCCACCCUGGUCUCAGGUGACCCCUGGUACCCAUGGUACAACUGGAAACAGCCACCGGAGAGAGAACUGUCUCGCCUUCGCCGGCUUUACCAGGGUCAUCUCCGAGAAGAGAGUGGCCCCCCACCUGAGUCAAUGCCCAAGAUGCCCCCUAGAACACCAGCGGAAGCCUCCUCCACUGGGCAGACAGGCCCUCAGAGUGCUCUGUAGGAGCUGUAGACUGGGAAGAGAGGCCAGGCGUGGUGGCUCACUCCUGUAAUCCCAGCACUUUGGGAAGCCAAGGUGGGCUGAUCACUUGAUCCCAGGAGUUUGAGACCAGCCUGGGCACCAUGGUGAAACCUUGUCUUUACCAAAAAAUACAAAAAUUAGCUGGGUGUGGUGGUGCACACCUGUAGUCUCAACUAUUGGGGAGGCUAAGGUAGGAUCACUUGAUCCCAGGAGGCGGAGGUUGCAGCGAGUUGCAGUCGCACCCCUGCACUCCAGCCUGGGUGACAGCUAGACCCUGUCUCAAAAAAAAAAAAAAAAAAGACUGGGAAGAGAGCUAGAGGGACUAGGAGAUAAUGUGUAUGUAGGUUUAUGUGAUGGGAUAUCACCCUGAAGAGUUGUGUCUUUUGUGGCCAAUGACAAAUCCAGGAAAUGAAUGUUGCUGAUAGGGAUAAAUCUUGAGGCCGAGGGCGGGCGGUACAGAUGUGUAUGGGAAACCCCAACCCCUAUAUAUUGUAAAUAGAUGGGCUGGGCUAAACAUUGUUGCCGUUUCAUACUUCUACCAACUCAGCUUUUACACAAUAAAGCUCUACUGUCUCUGGUUUGC